UCAUUUUGGCACCUUUUGCUGAAUCAGCAAAAAUCGUGUGCUACACGCAUUGAAAACGCGUUUGAGGGGUUUUUUGUGGAGUAUUUUCAUAAUUUUUCAUCUUUAAAUUUUUUUAGAAUUAUUGAAAAUCUCUAUUGCGGUAUGGACUGCGUACAUUUUACCUUCGCCAAACCUCACUUUGUGGGAGAACACUGGGUUUGUUGUUGUUGGUGUUGUCUAUUGUCAAAUCAGCAAUAAUUGGUCCAAUGAACUAAUGACACGUGUUUUAUUGACCUAAUAAUUACAAAAAAAACCCUCACAUUGUCUUCUCCACACAACCUUUCUUUAGCUUAACUUCCAUUAAUGGAGAUUGAAUGUUUCAACAAUCAACGAAACACACUAACACACUAACAAAAUUAACAAAUACUACUACACAACAACAACUUCACGAAUUCACCUCCUCCAUAUUUACACCUUCAAUUCCCACUAACAGUUCCUUCUCCAUGAACAACUAAGUGGUUGACAAAUAUGCAAAUGGAGAAUCAUUCAUCUAUAAAUAUUACCAAAAGAAAAUAAUUUGUAGAAAAAAAGAACUGACUCUUGCCUCUUCCCUAUUAUAUAUAUAGGAGACAAUCUGUUUUUACUUCUUCUUUAACAUUUGCACAUUUACCACCAUUUGCAUUAUCAAAAGAAAAUAAUUUGUAGAGAAAAAGAACUGAGUCUUGCCUCCCUCCCUAUUAUAUAUAUAGGAUAGGGAAUCUUUUUUUACUUCUUUUUCAACCAUUUGAACAAUCACUUACCACCAUUUGCACAAUCACUUACCAUGGCUGUUCCAAUACUUCUUCUACAAGUAGUCUCUGUUUCCAUAGUACAGCAAGUACCGCAAGUUGCAGCAGAAGUACAGCAAGUACCGCAAGUUGCAGCAGAUAUAGCGCCAAGAAUUCUUUUCCGAAUCAAUGGUGUGCACCGAGAAAAGUUGUUGCAUUUAGUUCGUCACGUAAGAACGUUGAGGAUCAUUAAUGGUGGAGGAGCACCCCAAGCGGAUGGAGAUGCCGGUGGAGGGGAUGGAAAUGCACAACAAGGUGGAGACAAUAGAGUUUUACUUCUUGACAUUGAAUCCGUCUCAGAAUAUCUUCAGCCUCUUCAGCCUCUUCAGCCACCAGAGAACAACUUCCUGUAUCUGCUUGCGGAGAAUCAAAUUGUUUACAACCAAUUGAGGGGUCUUGAUGGAGCCGCGAAAACUAUUCAUCUUUUUGUUCGACAAGGCAAUGAAGAAAUUAGGGGGGCAACACUAUGGAGUAAAUCACAAGAUAUUAUCUUUAAAAUUGGCCUGCCUAUUGCCUUAGGAAUCGGACUGUUUCAAAUGUCUACGGCUAUAAAAUCACAGGCACAGAUCACAGGGCGUGCACCAGCAAUUGGAGACGGAAACAAUGCUGCCGCUGGAGACAGCGAUGAUUUUACACCGCUUAUCGAGAAAUUAAAAAAGCAGAUCAAGAAAGAUGAUUUUCAGAAAAAGAAUUUCGAAGAUGCCCGUAAGCACGCUGUUCAAAAGGUAACAGCAGCAGUACUGAAUGUCAUGGGUGCUUGUCUCUGUGCUUUAUACAACGGUCUCAUAGGUAAGGUCUUCCCGGCGGCAGAUCCUAACUAAUCCUAAUCAGCAGCUAUAAGGAUUUUUCUUUCAAACAUUCUACAUUGGGGAUUAUUUCAAGAUUCAAUGGCAAGAUUGGGGUUUAUAUUCUUUCAAGAUCAAGAUUUAACAAUGGCUAGAACGGGGUUUAGAAGAUUUGGGGUUUCUAAUUCUUUCAGGUGUCGUGUCAAUAUACGGGUGGCAAUAUUGCUGAUUAUAGUUGUCAAUAUGUUGCUCUAGCUUCCCCUUACUAUCUUCCCCUUACGAGGGAAGCCUUUUGUACAAAAAUCUCGAUUUUCUGUAAUGAAAAAGUUGUUUGCACAAUUUGAUUCAAUUUGUUAGAUAUUUUUACUUUGUAAUUUAUUUAUUUAACAUAUUUUUUAUUUAUUUUUCGACUAUACGGACAAUCAAGGGCAAAACAGUAACUUCACAGUAAUAAAAAAUCCCUCAUCGUCUUCAAUUCUCCUUCACCGUCUUCAAAAAUUGUCUUCAAAAAUUAGUCCAUUCCAAUUCUCCUUCAUCGUCUUCAAAAAUUGUUAGAAUCUCUGAGACGAAGCUGCUGAUUUGGGUUUCUUUUCGAUUUCAAUAAUUUUCCAAGCGUUGGAAAUUUCUGUUAAGUUUAAUUAGUUGAUUUACCAAAAUGGGAGUGUUCAAUUUCACUGUGAUUCCGAUUCUAGAUGACGACCGACAUCCUCCUUCCUCCAGCUCUUCAAAAUAUUGCUAAUGUUUUCUUCUCCUUUCUGUUUUGUUAUAGUUCUCUUGAUGGGUCGAAUUUGGUGUGAUGGUUGUUUACUCCAAGUGUGAUUGGAAACAACCUCUCUAUCUUCAUAGGUAGGGGUGUAAGGCUGCAUACACACCACCCCCGUCUAACCAUUUGUGGGAUUACAUUGGUUGUGGCGUUAUUAGAAAUAGCCUCUCCACCUCCUUCACAGGGUAGGGGUAAAGACUGCGUUUGGUUAUGUUGUUAGUUUAGUCCAAGUGUUUUAGUCUGUUCACUUUCUUUUGCUUUCCAAAAUCUGUUUUUUUGUGCAUUGAUUGUAUUUCUUCCAUGAAGAUAAGAGUGUAUGUACUAUUUGAGUAGCAUUUGUGUUUUAAUUAGUUCAUUUUGGCUUCUUCUCUGUGCUUUUUUAACUGUCUGGAAAUUUGAGCGCAUAUUUCUUUCUAAUUGCCAUUUUCAGCCGUCUAAAUUACAAUUAGAUCCCAGAAAGGUAGGUAUAAGGUCAGUAUACACCCGACUUUCUCAGACCCAACUUGUGGGAGUAUACCUGGUAUGUUGUUGAAGCUUACAAUUAGUUCAUUUUUUCUUUUCAAAAACUGGUUUUACUGUGUAUUGAUUGUAACUCUUCAUUGAAGAUAAGGGUGGAUGUAGUAUUUGAGUAGCAUUUAUCUGUGAAUCAUUUUUCUUUUAGAAAAGUAUGUUUAUAUUGUUAUUGUGUUCCCUGUCGCAUAGUUCUACUCUUGUUCCAUUUCAUUUUAUAUGACAUUAUAUGACUUGAUACAUAAUUUAAAGAAAAAAAGGAAAAAUUUAAGUGCAUAUUGGAAGUACAUUAGACAUGUCGUCUUAAAUAUGAUAUUUAUAUGCCUAUAAGAACACGGCAUUAAGCGGAAAAUAAGAAGUUCAAACUAACAUUAUUUUAGGAUCAAACUUAAAAGGGGAUAGUAAUGGAAAAGAGGAUACAAUAACUGGCACUGCUACUGAUUUAAGAUCUUGAAAUGGGUAUAACUCUGUUUUUACUGUUCGGAAAAUUGGGUAUACUUCUCUCUUCUUUUUUCUGCUUCGUAAGUUGUAUAUUUGAGUAGCAUUUGUGGCUGGACCAUUUAAGUUGGAUUUCGAAAUGUAUAUUUAUCUUGUAAUAGCAAAACACUGUCGCAAAAGACUACUCCUGUUCCAUUCAAUUGACGUGACGUUAUUUGACUCAACCUGUAGUUUAAAAGCCAAAAAUGAAAACUUACUAAAAGUACUCUAGACUUGCCUAUAUGCCUAUGAGAGUUUUUGAUAAAACGCAGUCAAAUUUGUAGACGCUUAAUAUAUAUUCUGCGACAUUGGCUUCAUAUUAUUGAUAUAGUCAUCUAUGUAAUUAUUAGCUUGGAUUAAUACCUACUGAUUUAGAGGUUUUCUAUCUAUUCGAAGGAAAGAUGAUUUUUCCCUCCCUUCCUUUCAAAUGUAGGUUCAGCACGCUGAUUGGACUGGUAUUAGCCUGUUUGUAGAAAGAUAAUAAGUUUGUCUGCUGGGGAAAACAUAGUGUCCUGUCCUAAAUGGGCAUGAAAUACUUAACAGAACUCCAAAAUCUCAUUUGGUGCGGUUGCGAUGGGAUGAAUUGAACCCCGAUGAGCGAAGAAACUUUGCAAGUGUAGCUGUUGAUUUGAUGUCUGAAAUUACAAAUUCCAGUGAAGAAUAGGCUUUCAAAAGUCAGACGUCAGCUCUUGUUGCCGAGGAUUGGUGGAACGGAGAACUUCUUCCACUGUUCCAAAUGCAGAUAUUGUUAUUCAGUUCUCUUGAAGAAUGGUCACCCUUGUGUUGAGGGGGCAAUGCAAUCAUGACUGUCCUGUUUGUUUUGAGUAUCUCUUUGAGUCGGUAAAUGAUAUAACAGUCAUGCCCUGUGGACACACUAUUCAUAAGAACUUCUUCAAGGAGAUGCAGGAACACUACCAGUUUUUGGAUCCUUUCUAAUGAUUGUGGAAUUACCUCAGAAGUGCAAUUUCACUUUGUGGCCCAGAAGUGUCCAUGUUGCAGAGCUUACAACACCCGCUAAACAAGCGGCGGAUAGAGGGAUCAAAUAUCAAAAGUCGAUCUGGCUUUUAUGUAGCUGGGAGAGCUUCGGGUUGGGGGGAAGUAGGUGGGGGUGCCUUUGGUUUGUUAGUAUAGGGUAAUACUGUGUGGGUGUCUCAUUUCUAUUGUGUCAUCUUGUUUCAUGCUUUAUUAUGAAUUUGCUUAUUAUUCUUUGUCCUGAGCCGGGGGUCUAUCGAAAACAGUCUUGCUACCUCUCCGGAGGUAGUGGUAUGGACAGUGUAGACCCCACUGGGUUUGUUGUUGUUGUUGUUGAUCUGGACUUGUGGAGUGGUAAUUCUGAGUGGGAAAGAGAAAGGGUUCUGAUACGAUCUUGCUUGUAGGUCUUGUGAGGUUAUUGUGUUUUCGCGUUCUUUGUUUUAUUUUCAUUGUUACCUGUAGUAUGCGUGGCUAGCCUAAGAUUGAAUGCCCUGAUUAUUUGUUCGGUGUUGGCUCAGAGUGUUGUUGGCAUGUCUGAUGUCUGUAGCUUGCUUGUAAAAAUGUUGCAAGUCAGGUGGCCAUAUGAAGACACAUCAGAUGCUGUAGCAGGUUGUAUUCUGCAAGUGGAUAACCCCUCAGAUUUUAGGUAUUGUCACGCAAACCUCAGUGUAUCAUUGGCCAAUUGAUGGCGAUACUGAGCCUAUAAAGAUGUUUGAUAGAACAACCAAUCUAGCCAAUAAUCAAAUAACCAAUUAUCGGUGUGAUCCUUCAGGGAAAUGGUUGGGUUUGAUCGGUAUUGCCCUUGGGUUUGAUCGGUAUUGUCCCUGGUUCUCCGGAGGCAUUCCGUGCUCACUGAGCUCACCGUUGUUCAGUCCUGAGAAGAUGCUGGAAAAGAGGCAGCUGCUAAGAAAUUUUGUGAGGAAAGAAAUGGGGUUGACAGACAAUGAUGUGCUUGUUAUGUCCUUGAGUAGCAUAAACCCUGGAAAGGGUCAGUUUCUGCUUCUUGAAUCUAGACGUUUGCUGAUUGAGGGAGCUCCUCCUCUAAAUGGAUCUGAUGUUAAAAGACAAGAUUGUCACAAAAGGGCAUUGCUUCAUAAUUGGAAACAAUUUGGUGAAUGGAAAAAAGAAUCAUCCACCUUGUCAAACAACCCAAACACAAGUGUUGCAGCUACCCCAGCUUUUCAAUAAGGGGGUUAACUAUAAAGCUGGAAUUGGAAAUGAUAAAGAGGAACUCGAAAGCUUUUCGCCCUAACUGAAAGGAGGCAGGGAGAAAAGCUUAAAGUGCUUAUCGGGUCGGAUACAAGAGCAAUAAGGUGCCUUAUGUUAAAAGCGCUUCUCAACUUUCUAAAUCAGCAUUCUAACUUGUCAAACACGGUACUGUGAACUCCAUCAACCACUUGUGUCGCUGCACUUUAUGCUGCUGCAGAUGCUUAGGUAAUGAAUUCUCAGGGACUUGGAGAAACAUUUGGGAGAGUAACUAUUGAAGCAAUGGCAUUUGAUCUUCCUGAAUUUGCCUCUGAUUUGGUGAAGAAUUCUGAUGAGGCCACUUCCAAGAGCGAAGAUGAAAAUACUGAAACUAAUAACACCGGUUUAGUUUCUAAGUCGUCAUCUUCUGUCGAGGAAAAAUCUUUGGCGGAGUCCAAUGUGCCCAAGGUUACUGUGGCUAGGGGGAAAAAGAAGAAGACUUAUAUAAGAAGGCAGAUGCUGCUGGUGCGACUUCUGAUCUUUAUAUGGCGUAUAAAGGUCCAGAGAAAAAGGAAGAACUUACACAAUCUAUCGAAACCAGUGAAAGCGAUAACUCAAAGCCUCUAUCUGCCGAUGUGCCUCAAGAAGAUCUUAUAUCAACUAAAGAAGGUUAGUGAGGUUAAAGCAGAGCCAGAUGAUUGGGAGGAUGCUGAAUGCAUCUACUCCUGAACUAGAAGCUGCUCCAGGACAUGGAAAGAAAGUCGAUGGUGAAGAAGGUGAAGUGUUUCCCGUGAGCCGGGCCCUAGUCCUGGAAGAGGUAUUGAUAGGCCAUCUAGUGGACACCGUGAAAGUCGCGGAAGUGGCAUUGGGGAUGGAGAUAAAUGGAGUAAAACAUCUGGGCCUGUUAUGCCUGGGAGGAAUUUUCAGCCAGACCUUGCUUUUGGGGGCAAUGCUAUGGGAUAUCGACCUGGUCCAGGAGGCAAUUAUGGUGUUUUGUGGAACCUUCGAGCUCCGAUGCCCAUCCAGUAUACCGGGGGUCAGUUUGUUGGGGGUAUACUAGCUGGACCAAUGCAAUCCAUGGGUCCUCAUGGAGGAGCCUUGAGAAAUGCAGUAGAUGCUGACAGGUGGCAGCGUGGAACUGCUUUCCAAAAGGGUUUAAUCCCAUCUCCUCAGACACCUGCACAGAUUAUGCACAAAGCUGAAAUAAAAGUAUGAAGUAGGUAAAGUAACAGACGAGGAACAAGCCAAGCAGAGACAGCUUAAGGCUAUCUUAAAUAAGCUAAACUCCACAGAACUUAGAAAAAUUAUUCCAGCAAGUGAAAGACGUCAAUAUUGACUAUGCUGUGACACUCAAUGGUGUAAUCUCUCAGAUUUUUGAUAAAAGCUUUGAUGAAGCCAACUUUUUGUGAGAUGUAUGCCAACUUUUGUCAGCACCUAGCAGCCGAGUUGCCUGAUCUGAGUGUAGACAGAGAAAAAAUAAUCAGUGAUUUUAACGUUUUUGGGAUUUCUCUGACAUUGGGAAGGUACUAAAUAAAUUUUGUUAAAGGAAUAUUCAAUUAUUUUUAUUAUAUGAUAAAUUUUUCACUUAGAUUAUUAAAGAAAAUUA